AGUCAGGCUCUGGGUGGAUGUCCCCAGCUGCAGCCCCCAGCUGCAGCCACUGGCAACCUAAAGAACCACAGGCCUCCUGUGAGAGAGCAGAAUGGUGCAGGAGGCCAAGCCACAGAGCGUGGCUGGGGGACUGCAUGAGGCCAGCUCAGAGGGAGAGUAUUGGUGCCCUGGCACCUCCUCCACAUGGAACCAUGAGACAGGAGAAAGGUAUGCCUAAAAAACCCUGAUAAAGCUUGUUUUUAAUUUAAAUUGAAGGAUGAAGAAGAACUGACAUUAAUACGGAUACCUCAUUACUGGUUGAUUUAUUUGGUUCCCAAAUCCUGGCUCUGUGUCAGACUCACCUGUGGAGAUUUAAAAAGGCAUCCAGGGUUUUGAUCCACACUGUUGAGCAAUGGUGGGCUUGGUUAAUCUUUAAAAAGAAUCCUAAUAGAAGAGGACCAACAAUAAUUGCAUUAUGCUUCCGUGUGAAUAACUUCUUCAGAUUUGUUUGACAGAACAGAUUAGAGGAGCUCAAGGGAGCAGACAGAGAAAAAGGUCGAGCUGUAUCUCCUGGCCAGUCUCUCAUCUGUCUCAACAUCUAAAGGAAACAAGCUCGGAAAGGCCAUCCCAUCGUAUUUUUAGAAGUACUCACAUGAACUCUAAACAACACCUUGAGAGUCAUGGCAAUGCCCCGGACGUUUUGUAUCUUCGCUGGGUGUGUGAUAUCUUCCUGCCUGCUGGCCCAGUGUCUGUUAAGGAAUUCUGCAGAUCCAGUGCCAGGCCGUGACAGGAGACUUGCUCUAAAACAAUCAUCAGCCAGGUGGAAACAACAUCAAAAAUAAUUCUGUUUGCUAAGAGCGUUGUUCACAGCACCUCACUCCAGAGCUCUUUUCCUCUGCAUCUUGGAGUUGUUUUCACAGAGCCCACUUGCUCACCUUAUACCCGACACCUCACAGGGCAUCAUGUCAGGUUGAGUGGUCUACCUGUAAGCCUUUCUAUGUUAGCAAGAACAUUUUAAAAAAAAACAAAAAAAUCCCUUUAUUGGUCUUUGAUUCUGUGCUCACCAAGUCUUUUAUCCCUCGAAGAAUUUACGUCUUGUAGAUCAAAUGUGAAGUGCAGGACAAAGGAAGACGUGUAUAUCAAGUAAGGAAACAUGCCGGACUCAGGUGCCACAGUGAGACCUUAUACAGCUGUAUAUACUUUUACCAUUUUCACAAAUCACAGGAAAUUUUAUCCUUAUAAAUGGAACUCCCAAGUCUUGUUUUUCUUUCACAACUGGAGGAAACUAGAAAAAGAAGGACUAUUUUUGCUUUGAGAUUGGAUUUAUUUUUGGCUUAUUUGUUGAUUUUGGGGCAUGUUACAAGCCCCUGUGGGGAGAGGAAAGUCCUGGAGUCAGCAGGACCAGGCUUUCCAUCCUGCCUCCGGCACCAACCAGGCGUGCACGGGGCGCCGCUUGACUUUCUGAUGGGCAGUUUCCUCAUCUGAAAAGCAGGGAGGAUAUCUACCUCCCAUGCUUGAUGUCUGCGUCCAGCACAUCCUGGGCAACAAGAAGCUUUAAAUCUGAAUUUAGGUUGCCUUUUUACAUACGUACCUGUAGGAAGAAAACGGACCCUGAGCCACUACACCAGAUUUUGUUUCUGCUGCUUCUUAGUUUUGAACAAGUUAACUCAGAAACAAAACCUUAGACCCAAAAGGAUUUUGAGGGAUUGUCCAGUCCAGCCCCCUUGACCUACAGAUGACAAACUGUGGUCCACAAAAACGAAGGGUUUUGUCUAAGACCAUGCAGCAAACAUUGACCAUAAACCAGGAGUCAUGGGGUGGCUGGGCCCAGGGUUUUCCAGCUUUACAGUCCUGCCUUUGGGAAAGGAACACAGCUUCAAUGGGAAGAUGUGUAUGGAUGUAGAUGUGUUAGGAUAUAAUCAUUUUUUGAGUGUUUACCUAAUUUGAUAUUCUGAGUGUCAGAAAAAGCUGGUUUAGAUCAAAAGAGGAAAACAGCAACUGUGACUAUUUCACCAGGAGAGAAUUACAAAGCAGAGAGCUUAGAGUUCAGAUAGAGCUCGGAAAACGGGGGCUUGGAGAAGAAUCUCAGCCU
ensembl:lncRNA